UCGCAUCGCCAUGACUCGGUGAAGUGUGAACCAACGAAUCGCUUCCUUGUUGGGUUUUCUCUCAGAGGCUCUGUGCUUUAAGGAUCGAACUCAGAUAUCAGAUCUGCCUCUCAAACCCGCUUGUCGCAGUAAACGGAGACUGCCAGUGAACUUAAAAAUUACAAAGUUCAUGAUGCAAAUACCUGCCAUCUUGUGUCUCAGGUUCAAGAUCUGUCAAAACCAUGACUGGAGCUAACCCAUUAGGCCAUUGCAGACAUGACAUUCAUGGGAAGAAGGAAUGGCACAUUCUACAGUCAUACGACUAUAACAAUGUGUACACUGACAUCUUUGCUGUGUUGGCAUCCAACUAAAAGACAUGGCAAGAAAACUGCAGGGUCUGUGAUGAUAUUGUUCUUCCUACUCUUUUUCCUUGAAUUCCUUGUCCUAAGCUUUUCACAUGAAAUUACCGGAGUAGAUAUAUAGCUAUUAGUGGAACUCGAUUGAUCUUCCAGUCGCAUUAUUCAACUGGAAAAUAUGGGUUGGGGUACAGUACAGAAUUCCUCCUCUGCCAUUUCAAUAUACACAUUGUAGAUUAUGUACAAAUGCCUCUGAACCCAAUGAAAUCCUUGUUUCCUACUAUCGUGAAAAAGAUAAUGUUAGGAAAUUUAUGAUUCGGGUAUUUCAACUGCAAAAUGGACCUGCAAGUAGAUUUUUACCUUUAAUUUUUUAUUUCUGCCUACCACAUGUAUAG